UGGCUGCGCCCAUAUGUUUAUCGCGUAUACUGGUGUUUACGUUUUAUUAUUAUACAAAAUAAAGCUUCUAUUUGAACUAAAAGCUUUAUUUCUUCUUAGAAACGUCAUAUUGAAAAUGGGUUUGAGAGAUCGCUUUUAUUUGUCUGGUCGUUUUGAUGAGGCUGACAGUAAAAUUGAAAUUACUAUAGAAACCUACAUUUGCUUGUUUGUGUAUACUUAUUGCGAUUUAGACGUAGAGUUAUGCAUUGUAGAUGCUGAUGAUACAUACCAGUGUUUUGUACCGGUAUGUGCUUUAAAUAAUAUCAAAUAUGAGUAUAUCAAAACAAAACUAGCAGAGGAGCAAGAUUUUAACUUUGCAUUUCCUGCAAUCCAAACAGAGCAAGGAAAGACUGUUAUAGCUGGAUUGUGUGCUGUUUUAAGAUGGGCUAUAAAAGCUCAUAUUGCAGUUCAUCCAGAUCAUUAUUCAAAAGCUCUUCUGGGCUUCCGAGGUGGUUGUCUAGUAGCGUGUGCAGAAAGCUCUGUUUGGACAAAAUUUUGCGAAUUGCAAUUACCUAAUUCAGUAAGGGAAGUCUCAUCUCUCAUCAAGUGUGGGAAUGCACUUUCAUAUGUUCCAGAUAAUUUGGCACUUUUGGAAGCACAUUUAAAGCGACCUGUUAGAACACAUAAUAUUUUGAAAAGAAAAUUAGACAUUGCAAAAAAAGUAAAUAAUAGUUCUAAAGAAGACAAAAACAUUGCUGCAAAUAAAUCUGAACAACUGAAUUUUGUAAUAUAUGAUAAUAAUUCAACUCCUGUGCCAAGUGGUGACAUUUCUGAGAAACUUAAAAACCUUGUCAUUACUGAAAAAAGCCAAGACUUUUGUCUUGAUCAUUGUUAUUUAGAAGGAAUUGAUUUUACUUUAGCUGAUAUGAUUGUCUUUCCAUGUCUUCACUAUUUCUUGAAUACUCUUCCAUCCCAAAGCUGGAUUCAUUUGGCAAAUGUAAUUAAAUGGCAUGAAAGAAUGCUGUCUGAUACGUAUGUUAAACAAGCAGCAGAGAAAUGUGGUUUGUCCAUUACUGGUUGCAAAACUGAAUUAUCAAGUACUGGAGGUAUUAUAUUUCCUCAAAUAGACCAGACAAGUUUAUAUAAAAGGGAUCCUUCACAAAAUAAAAUAAAAUGUAAGCAUCAAAGUCCAGAUAGAAUAUUGUCUCUUUUGCAACAAGCUACCAUUAAUCCUAAAUAUAGCAGCAACUACUGCACAAAGUUGGAAUGGGAUAGUUUACCAGCUGAACUUCAUCCUGCUAAUGGUGAUCUACCAGAAAAACGAGUGUCAAGAAAGUGCCAACAAAUUGAAAGCAUAGUUACUGCUGUUCUGAAAGUGGCUCUGCCAACUCAAACUAUCGUUGAAUUUUGUGCAGGUGGAGGGCAUGUUGGAUUGCUUUUGGCUUAUUAUCUACCAAGUUGUAAGGUCAUUUUGAUUGAAAAUAAAGAAUCAUCAAUGCAGCGAGCAAAAUCAAGAGCUGAAGCGUUAAAUUUGAAAAAUAUAGCCUUUUUUCAGGAUCAUUCGAUAUGGGAGUAUCUUUGCAUGCUUGUGGAGUUGCCACUGACCUUGUCAUUCAGCAGUGUAUAAAGAACAAAGCAUCAUUUGUGUGCUGUCCUUGCUGUUAUGGUGGUGUUCAAAACACUCAUUUGCUCAGUUAUCCAUUAAGUAAAAAAUUUUGCAGCACAGGCUUAUCUUAUAAGGAUUACACACUUUUGGCACAUUUUGCAGAUCGCACUGAAGUUAAUACACCUACUGCUGAACAAG
rnacentral:misc_RNA from 1 species